GCAGAGCUGGUUUGGAUUCCCACCAUGGCCCUGGCUCCGCUCCUCCUUGUCCUUUGCAUUUACUUCUCGGGUGCUGGUGCCCAGUCCUUGCUGACUCAGCCGCCCUCGGUGUCGGCGUCUCCCGGAGGAACAGUUACCAUCACCUGUGCCAGGAGCAGCGGCAGCAUCAGUGACAGCUGGAACUCCUGGUACCAGCAGAAGCCUGGCAGGGCUCCGGUGAUGGUUAUAUAUGAGGAUACUAAAAGGCCCUCGGGGAUCCCCACCCGAUUCUCAGGGUCCAUUGAUGAAUCUGCCAACACGGCCACAUUAACCAUCAGUGGAGUGCAGCCGGACGACGAGGCUGAUUAUUACUGUUUAACGUAUGACAGCAGCAGCAAUGCCACAGUGCUACAGACACAAGGGGAACUGAGACAAAAACCUCCCUCAGGUUUACAGAGUCUGGACUCUCGCUUCCCAGCAGCCCCUGCUGCCAGGUGGGAGCAGUUCCUCAGUGUCUGAAAGCGUUCCCUUGCCUCCUCACCUGGCCAUGGCACCUCUGGAGCUGAGCUGAGCUGAGCAGUGACUCCAGGCACCAUGGGCUGCAGGGUGCGUCCAUGGAGCACUGCGAAGAUAUUGUGCCUGGC